AGCAGACUAGGAAAGAAAGAGAAUGCGACAGGAGUAAGCAGCGAAAUUAUGAGCAUUGUUUUCAAAGAAUUUGCCAGUGAACCCAUCUGGGCCUGAGGCUUUCUGUUUGGGAAGAUCAUUAAUCAUUGAUUCUAUUUAAUGAUGACACACCCUGGCCAGCACCAGAUGGGCACCGGCAGCACCAGCACACUCAGGCCUGGGCAGUGACCCUCGCCCAGAAGGCUCUGCACUGGCGAGUUCUUUGCUAAGUGCCCCUAGUGACUCAGUUGCGGACUGAAUUCCAGGUGAUGAGGGAACAGAAGGCUGGCUGACCCUGCAACCUCCCCCCACCCCCCCACUCCUGGGUGGGACAUGUGUGACCUUCCAGGAAGGUCAACUAUCUUAAUAUUACUGCCUUGCUAGAGGGGAAAACAAACUUAACUUGACAAUGGCAAGGCCUGUGAGUCUUCUUUAGCAUAUGAAAGUUCUUUCGGAAACCUCCCUUUUUCCUUACCUCCCCCAACCCCAUAAUUUGUAAUCAGCUGCCCCUCACAACCCUGGGGCAGCAGCUCUUUCUGCCCA